GCAGGUAUCGUAUAGCGGCUAUUAUGCCACCUUGCCAAGGUGGAGAUGCGGGUUCGACUCCCGCUACUUGCUCCA
rnacentral:tRNA from 3 species